UCUGUCUAGGAUUAUUGGAAGUGUGUUUGUAACUGAAUUACAUUUAUGAUAGUGAAGAAAAAUCUCUCAUAUCAACUAGGAGGCCUGGAUGUAAUUUGCAAGUGGACCUACAAACGAACUAGGAUAAAAAUCCUCGAGCACGUUUUCUCUUUCCCUAUCUCUUUAAUUUCUGUCUUUACUGCUUUAUGUGUUAAAUUUGCAUUAUGUGAUUAAUUGCUAAUUGUUGUUAAUCUAUUGAUAAUCACGAAUCAAUAUUAAGAUAGUAAAGAUCCAGAUUCAUCACUGUUUUUCGAAGCAAGAAAACUGUUUUUCAAAGAGUAAACAACCAAUAUAAUCGAUUAAGGUACUGACCAUAAUCAAUUAACAGAAUUGUCCUUAAUCGAUUAACCCUGUUGAUAAUCGAUUAACUACAUCAACUUUGUA
rnacentral:lncRNA from 1 species